AAAAAAUCAGAUAUACCGGGUGAAGAGUCUUCUAAAGAACGAUCAAUUGGUUGAGGUAAUAGAAACUUUUCAACUGGAAAUUUCUGAGGACCAGUUGAUGUCAAGGUGCACAAAAUGCAACGGUAAGUUCAUCCAAAAACCUCUGACGACAGAAGAAGCUGUUGAAGCAGCUAAGGGAUUUCAGGUGAUUCCAAACUGCUUGUUUAACAAGAAUUUGGAAUUUUGGCAAUGCAUGGAUUGCAAGCAACUUUACUGGGAGGGAACUCAAUACCGCAAUGCUGUGCAAAAGUUUGUCGAUGUCUGCAAGCUGAAGGAAUGAAAUGGCCGUCAUAAUCCUGGUUUAUAGUGCGUUUGAAUUGCG
rnacentral:misc_RNA from 1 species